AGCAAGGACAAAGAUCUUUGCAAAUGAAUGUCCACAUAGCAGUGUUUUCAUAAGAGAAAAAGAAUUAUUUAAAAAGGGGAGGGGGUGUGUUUGCUUCCUCUCCCCACCUGAACCCCUGCCUUAUGUGAUAAGGCUGAAGCUCCCAAAUCUUCUAUCAAUGGAUAAAACAGUUCAAAUACUGCUUCAUGUCCAAAACCAGUACUGUUUCUAUGAAGAACUGUGGCCAUAGCUCCAUCUCCAAUCUAGGACACCACAGACCUGCUUUUUUAGGCUGAGAACACCAGGUGGCAUAUGGUGGCUGAAUCAGAGCCUUGGUAACCAUGGCAACCAGCUACCAUUCCAGCUCUGCAGCUGCCAUCUUUUAUCCAAAGCAGUGUUUUGUGCACACUGGGGGUUUUGCUUUGAAAUGGUUGUACUCUAUGCUUUUCAUUCUUCAUAGAAUUAGAGUUUCUGCUUCUGGGUAGGGAAUUCCAGGCCAGAGAUAGAUAAAUACCUCGGGUCAGUUGCAUUAAUUUUAUUUUCUGUGCAUUAUUCAUUAUGGCUGCAUAAAGCAGUCUAUGCACUGAUAUUUGAGAAGGCCACGCCUUUCACAGCAGGCUUUCUUUAGGGAGGGUAGGGAAAUGCAUGAUGGAGUGAGUGACUCCUCUCCAGACUGAGGUUAAAACAAACAAAAAUGCCCAGCUCAGUGCUUGAAUCAGUUGUAUCUACAGUGACCCUGGGAGUUGCCUAGACAUAAGGGAAUUCUGCAAGCACUAUCUGUAGACAGAAGAGAUGUGUUUGCCAACCUACUGGAAGGACUAUUUCACAUAAAUAGUAUCUUCCCACAAAAUGUGUUUUGUGUCUGUCAUGCAGUAAUAAACCAAAUAUUUAUCUAUUGGAGACUAUCCCUUUUCUUUUCUAUCAGUCAAAAGUAAUGAGAUUUUCUAAGUUAAUCAUCAGGCGUUGCCUCUGGUGAUUGGCAGUAUAUCACAGGCCAGGCUGCCAAAAGCCAUUCUCUUUGCCAUUGGGAACAGAGCUGAAAGGCAUAAUGUUAUCCAAAUGUCUUCUCUAAAUUCCUAAAAGGUUCUGUACUGAUCGGGGACUCAUUUAUAAACAUAUCUAUUACAGACCGGUGUUGUUUCUGGCUGUUUGGUAGAAGGGUCAUAUCUUAAAUGUGCAUUCUUUGGAUGAAAGAUCCUUCUUAGAAUUAAAAUUCUAUUAAAAAUGUAUUAUUUUAUGUCACAUGAAAAAUGAAGAAAUUACACUGUAUAUGCAAUGUAAUAAUAAUCAUGAAGAUAGAAGAGAGGAAAUUACCAGAGAAAAAUGAUUAAAAAGAAAUGAAAUAAAUAUUAACAGUUGUGAGAUUUUGAAUGGUUUUUUCUUUUUUCCAUAUUUAUGCAUUUUCUACUUUUUAAUCAAGGGAAUUUACUACUAUGUCAUAAAGACAUUAAAAUAUUUUAGAAUACAUUUUAAUUUCAUUAGUGAUAUUUUUUUCACUUAACAUGUUACAAAUGUAAAACUUUUAACAUUUUAUCUGAAAAAAUCUUUUGAAAUCAUGAACUACCCAAACAAUUUUCAUUCAUUUUAGUUGUUAAAUUUUAAAAUGUUUGCUCUAAUUGCAAACAAAUUUUUUCAAAAUUUAUAAAUAAAAAUAUUCAAAAAAAUUUUAUGUAGUAUUUUCCAUGAAUUAAAGUAUUGUUUAAGGGUAUGAGAGGAGGGGAAUUAAUACAUUUGAUUAUAUGUCAAAUUGGUUCCUGUUAUUUUAUGAAAAUAUUGACAAGAAGAAUGAUAUAUAUAUAUAUUUAUUGAGAAAGCUGCUUGUAGUAUGAGAAAAUUAGUCAUGGAAUUUUCACACAUUUACCGGUUUUUUUCUAUGUAUUGUAUGUUUUUCCAUCUUUUGCUUAAAAACAAGGAAUAUAAAAGGCUAUGAUGAAACCGAACCAAGAGCAGAGCUGGAUCAAGAGAGAGGGGUGCACCACACAGGCUCAUAAUUUGUCACCACUUCAUAAUCAUUUCUCCAAUCCUUAUUUAAAGGAGGCUGUGUCCCUGACUGGGGGAAAGGUGGGGGAGGGUCCUUGAGCAAAGUGACCCGAUCACUUUCUUUGAGAGCAGUGCCAUGGCAGUAACUGCAACUUGUACACCACACUCAGCACACUGGAAAUCUGUGGGGCUAUUAACAAUUAUGUCUAGAAAUGGACUUAAUAACAUGGAAAUAUAUUCAAAUUAUGUCAUUAAGUGAGGAAAAAUUAUGAUAUUGAGGUAGAUGACAGAUAGACACACCCUCCAAGUGAUUAAGAACCAUCAUUUCUGUCAUCAUUUAAUUAGUGCAAUUAUAAGUAAUUAUCUUCUGAUUUUUUUACACGUUGCAAAUAUUUUCUGCCAGAUUAUUGUUUUUUUUAACAUUUUUCUGAUAUCUUUUGUCUUGCUGUAGUGUUUUGCUUUUAUCUAAUGAAGUCUCUCAAUUAUUUAUUUAUUUAUUUAUUUAUUGGGCUGCACCUGUGGCACAUGGAUGGUCCGAGGCUUGGGGUCGAAUUAGAGCUGAAGCUGCUGGCCUACGCCACAGCCACAACAAUGUGGGAUCCAAGCCACGUUUGUGAACUACACCACAGCUCAUGGUAGUGCCGGAUCUUUUAACCCACUGAGCAGGGCCAGGGAUUGAACCCACAUCCUCAUGGAUACUUGUUGGGUUUGUUACCACUGAACCGCAACGGGAACUCCUAAGAAAUGAUUUUUAAAACAAAUGCAAGUAUUAGAGAUAUUCAACUGAUCACUUGCAUGCAUUUGUGGCUAAAGACCAUGAAGAAUAUAAAGAAGGGGCUUCAGUGGUGUUUCAAGUGCACCUCAAUUGGGUAAUGUGCUAUUAUUACUUGCCUUUUGAUAGAUAUCUGUGCCUUUCAAUAAUUAGAGGCAGACUACAACUACAGGGACCUCACAUCCAGAUGGUAUGUUUAUAACAAAAACAAGUCGCAGACCUCACUCUGCAACAUGCAUAAAUAUUUAGCAAUCAGGCCCCAAAUAAUCACAUGACCAGCUUAAUGAGCUUGAUGAAGUCUAGGCACUUGGGGUUUCUAGAUACCUAACAGCACUCUACAGGCCUUAGAGGCAGAGAGAACAAGAUUCUAGUUUGGGGGAAGGCCUGAGCUCUCAAAUCAGAGCCAGGUGGAAGAAUCCUCCCAUUACAUCUGAAGACACAAUUUAGCAUCCGGAGCAUGGAGAGAAACCCAAAGUGUAUAAACCUAGGCUGGCUAGAUUUUGUUUAUGUUGUUUAUCCUGAGGCAAGAGUACUCUGAAAACAUUUUUAGCCAAUCCACAUAAUUGAAACUCAUUUGAAACUCAUUUCACCAAUGAGAAAUCAUUUCUAACCUCAUUAUGCUAAUUAACAAAGCUCCUGGGAUAGCUAGAAAGAGGGCUGGAGCCUGUAACCCAACCUCUCUGGAAUGUGGCUUCUGAAUUGAGCAUUUCACACGUUAAGCUACCCCCCGACCCCCCCCCCCCAGCCCCCUACCCCCGUGUGUUUUCUCAGGGUUCUUCACAUGUGUAGUUACCAUUCCUCCGAAGAGAGUAAAACUAACUCGGACACAUCACACCGCACUACCUAUGCCGGCAAGGGUCCUCCUGCCCAGUAUCACUGGUGCCGACUGGGUGAGUUGGGUCCAGAAGCAAGGGGAAGUUUGAUUUCUGGAUCAAACAAUGGAGGAUGGCGAGCUGCAUGCUGGAGCCCCGGCUCUGGGGACAGGCGGUAGGCGGGGGCCGCUUCCUAUGGAUCUCUCCACAGGGAGGGGGCGGGGGCAGCGCUCCCAGGGACCGCACAGCUGCUCACGCUCGGGCUGGCAGCGGGGAGCGCAGCGUCUCUGCACACGACCCGCCGCCGCCAUCUUGAGCUGAGGUGCGCGCGCAGCCGGAGCGCACUCCCGCCAAGGUGCGGUGUCCGGCAGCCAUUUGCACAUCAGGAGCUCUGCCCGGAAGAGUUGGUGCGAGGCCUCUGCCUCCGCCCCCGUUGAGCUGCUGAAGCUAGACGAAGCACAGAGGGAAAAAAAAGGUUAGAUUUUAUUUUAUUUUUUUUACCUAGAUGCUAUCUUUAUUCCCCGGGAAUUGUUAAUGGGCUUUGCAGGUGACAAAUCCUUUCUGUCUUCUGUUUGCUCCUCGUUCCUGAGGGGCACUGAGGGGCACCGGGUCUGUCUUCUGUAACUGCUUCCUGCUGAGUUUGGGCGGCCGGUGUCACAACCCCGAGCAGAAGUUGUCCCCAGCCGCCUCUAGACCUGUUUGUCAGCAGGCCUCAGCCCUCACUGCUCAUAUCCCUGAGCCACCGCCUGCCAUUUGGGGGUUUGUGAAUUCUAACCUUCUGGGGACAAAGGACACCAGACAAUUUAAGAUGCAGGCCCAAAUAUUAGCAGGAGAAUAAUGGCCAUUAAGGGGCCCAGGAGAGGAAUACACCAAGUGAUACUCAGGAGGGCCUGUUUUACCCGCUCUGCAUUUGUUCAGCCAGGUUGGUGACCUGGUUUCUACAGCCAAGUGGCUUUUCCUGAUAGUCUAUCUGCACGUUCUCCGAUCAGGCCACUUGCAUCAUUGUAAAAGCAGUGUGACGUAUUGGCUGGUGCACAGACCCCUCUCCAGGGCAGCUAGCAGAUAUCCAGGACAACUGGGUUACCCAGGUCUAUACCAGCCAAUGAGUCAAUGGACUUUUGUCAUUGACCACCAAUGCUACGGUCGGUGGCUGUUAGCUUUUUUAUAGUGACAGUGUUAUGUAAGAGUCCCCUGUCCAAGGUCCCUAGCACCUCUGUGAGAGCAAGAUUGCUGCAAUUAGUGGUCAGCUUUUGAGGGUACACUUCAGAUCAGAGAGAGGCUCACACAAGUAAUUAAGGGGAUCCAUUGCUCCAAGUUGUCUCUUUGGCGGUUGGGGCUCGAGGGCCUCUUCGCUCAAGUGAUGUGUCUAUGGAAUGAUCCCCUGCAGCUUCAGGGUGGGUGGUUAGCAUCACUAAACGGGGUCUAUUCCACUUAGGAAUGAGCUGGUCUUGUGGCUGCCACUUUUCCAGACAUUUUGAUGUACGCAGUUUCCUGGCUGGAAGGGUUGGAGGGCCAGGUCAGUGGGUGUGAGCAGCACCCAGUCACUAUAUUCCAUGAGCGUGUUCUUGGUUUAUCGUACAAGAGGGCAUACUUAGGUUGUUCCAUUUCAAAGGGGCUAAAGUAUCCCUUUUCUCUGGUUUGGGGAAUAGGUCUACCAUGCUUAAGUUCAAAUGCUCUUAACUUUAUCUCUUGGUGCUAACACCGAGUGGAGCAGGGCAAUUAGAAGUAACAAUCCCGGGAGUUCCCGUUGUGGCGCAGUGGUUAACGAAUCCGACUAGGAACCAUGAGGUUUCGGGUUCGGUCCCUGCCCUUGCUCAGUGGGUUAAGGAUCCGGUGUUGCCGUGAGCUGUGGUGUAGGUUGCAGACGCGGCUCGGAUCCCGCGUUGCUGUGGCUCUGGCGUAGGCCGGUGGCUAUGGCUCCGAUUCGACCCCUAGCCUGGGAACCUCCAUAUGCUGCAGGGGCGGCCCAAGAAAUAGC
rnacentral:lncRNA from 1 species